rnacentral:rRNA from 1 species
GCUCAACGCCGCGUGAGGGAUGAAGGCCUCGGGUUGUAAACCUCUUUUAGUUGGGAAGAAGCGAAAGUGACGGUACCAACAGAAAAAGCACCGGCUAACUACGUGCCAGCAGCCGCGGUAAUACGUAGGGUGCAAGCGUUGUCCGGAAUUAUUGGGCGUAAAGAGCUCGUAGGCGGUUUGUCGCGUCUGCUGUGAAAAUCCGAGGCUCAACCUCGGACCUGCAGUGGGUACGGGCAAACUAGAGUGCGGUAGGGGAGAAGGGAAUUCCUGGUGUAGCGGUGGAAUGCGCAGAUAUCAGGAGGAACACCGAUGGCGAAGGCACUUCUCUGGGCCGUAACUGACGCUGAGGAGCGAAAGCGUGGGGAGCGAACAGGAUUAGAUACCCUGGUAGUCCAC